rnacentral:tRNA from 1 species
GGGUCCGUAGCUCAAUGGUUAGAGCAUUCGCCUCUUAAGCGACAGGUUGUGAGUUCGAGUCUCACUGGACCCA